rnacentral:rRNA from 1 species
UGGGUAACCUGCCCAGAAGUGGGGGAUAACAUUUGGAAACAAGUGCUAAUACCGCAUAACAACAUUUAUCUCAUGAUUUAUGUUUAAAAGAUGGUUCUGCUAUCUCUUCUGGAUGGACCCGCGGCGUAUUAGCUAGUUGGUGAGGUAAUAGCUCACCAAGGCGAUGAUACGUAGCCGACCUGAGAGGGUAAUCGGCCACAUUGGGACUGAGACACGGCCCAAACUCCUACGGGAGGCAGCAGUAGGGAAUCUUCCACAAUGGACGAAAGUCUGAUGGAGCAACGCCGCGUGAGUGAAGAAGGUUUUCGGAUCGUAAAACUCUGUUGUUGAAGAAGAACAUAUGUGAGAGUAACUGUUCACGUACUGACGGUAUUCAACCAGAAAGCCACGGCUAACU